rnacentral:rRNA from 1 species
AACGAACGCUGGCGGCAGGCUUAACACAUGCAAGUCGAGCGCAUCCUUCGGGGUGAGCGGCAGACGGGUGAGUAACGCGUGGGAACGUACCCUUUCCUACGGAAUAGCUCCGGGAAACUGGAAUUAAUACCGUAUACGCCCUUAGGGGGAAAGAUUUAUCGGGGAAGGAUCGGCCCGCGUUGGAUUAGCUAGUUGGUGGGGUAAGGGCCUACCAAGGCGACGAUCCAUAGCUGGUCUGAGAGGAUGAUCAGCCACAUUGGGACUGAGACACGGCCCAAACUCGUACGGGAGGCAGCAGUGGGGAAUAUUGGACAAUGGGCGCAAGCCUGAUCCAGCCAUGCCGCGUGAGUGAUGAAGGCCUUAGGGUUGUAAAGCUCUUUCAGUAGGGAAGAUAAUGACGGUACCUACAGAAGAAGCCCCGGCUAACUUCGUGCCAGCCGCCGCAGUAA